rnacentral:rRNA from 1 species
GCGUCCCCUCCCGUCCGGCCCGACUCAGACGUCCUACGGAGGCGAGCAGUGGGGGAAGGUAAUUGGUACGAAUGGGGGCGAACCCUCGAUCCAGCGACGCCGCGUGUGUGAAGAAGGACCUGCGGGUUGUAAGCACUUUAGUUGGGGAUGAAUGUGCAGGGUUAAUACCUCUGCAUUUUGACCUAACCCACAGAAAAGCACCGGCUAACUCUGUGCCAGCAGCCGCGGUAAUAC